CAGUAGCCGCGGUAAUACGAAGGGUGCAAGCGUUACUCGGAAUUACUGGGCGUAAAGCGUGCGCAGGCGGUUGUGCAAGACAGAUGUGAAAUCCCCGAGCUUAACUUGGGAACUGCAUUUGUGACUACACGGCUAGAGUGUGUCAGAGGGGGGUAGAAUUCCACGUGUAGUAGUGAAAUGCGUAGAUAUGUGGAGGAAUACCGAUGGCGAAGGCAGCCCCCUGGGAUAACACUGACGCUCAUGCACGAAAGCGUGGGGAGCAAACAGGAUUAGAUACCCCUGUAGUCCCUGUCUCUUAUAC
rnacentral:rRNA from 1 species